UUGGUCUUAUCGAUCGGGGGAAGGGUUUUGGACUUGGAGGCUUUUGCUGGUUUCAUCUUGAAGCGAGCUCCUCCCAAACGAAUUAGUGGGGUCCGCUUUGCCGAUCCUUGACGUGAUAAGAUGUUUUCUACGUCUUGGGUUUGGCACUGUCACUUGGGCACCUGCUUCUAACCGUCUCAUCGACAAUGAUGGCGUUCCGGUCACCGCCGUUCAAUCGGCGGGAGGCUUGACCCACAAAAAACCUUGACCUCAAAUCGGGUGAGACUACCCGCUGAACUUAAGCAUAUCAAUAAGCGGAGG
rnacentral:rRNA from 1 species